rnacentral:lncRNA from 1 species
AGCUGGGAUCAGGCAGAGCUGAACUCUAAUCCUUUUGGAACUGCUCCUGGGCCCUCUUUGCACAGUGGCUGUUUGAAGAACAGUGGCUUCUGCCCUCAGAUCCUUAGAAUCGUCAGCUCAGAAGCCCAUUUCUGGAAGGGAACCCCAAUGAAAGCACCGUGGUUUAGGGGUGACCAGUUGGAAGCUGCCACGGGCUCCUCUGGUGUUAAGCUUUGGCUCUGCAUUCUUUCUGCCCCUGGGGAAUCUCCCAGAUCUUUCAGCGUCUCUUCUUUGCCUGGGUGGGUUUGCAGUCAUCGCAAAAGGGUGAAGGAAGAGUUAAGCUUCAGUUGUUGGAACUGGGUGGCCUCUAACCCAGACACCACGGGUGGUGCCUGGAAGAGUAAGGAAGAUGGGUGGAACGAGGCCCUAGAGGAAGCGCCAUGAAUUCAGUAGAUGCUGCUUCAGUCUGGAUGCUCCUCCUCAGUUGAGAGAUUGGCUGUCCUCUUUCCUUCAUGGAGUCCUCCCUUCCCCAGCUACAGUCACCCUCUUCACUUCCUCUGCCCAAGCCCCCCCUCACUUAUCCUCUUUCUAAGCAAGACAGGCAAAGCUUUUUGGAAGUGAGAUGGGAAGCAGUGUGGGUCUUACAUGUUCUCCUGUGAUCGAGGGUAGAGACCAAGCCUGUUGACUUAGUGUCAUGCUAGGGCCAGAGGUGCCUUGUGGUACUAUAUACACUUGGCUUGUGGGACGCCUAUCUCGGAGGAAAUGGAUGCUGUUUGACUCGGUGCACAGUUGGAACAGAUGGGCGUGUGAUUCGGUGACGUGGUGUGUUGUCGCUGGGGCCACAGAAGCCUUUGACCAGCGUUGUGGUAUGUGGUGUCAGCAUAUCCUCUUUCUUGGUUACUUGUGUGUCUCUCUCAAAGGUUGGCACGUGUGGUGACAAGGUGACAUGAGGUGUGCCUGCUAGGUCCCUGUCCUCACAUCAUUCACUAACCCUUUCUUAAGAUUCAAGUUUUCUGUAAAACAAGAGGGACCGACGUGAAGGAUGGAUGCCUUAAACCACCUCUUCCUUCCUUCCGUCUUUUCUAAGAUGUCUUUAUUUUUUAUUUUAUGUGUACGUGUGUUUUGUCAGUAUGUAUGUCUGUGUACCACAUAUGAACUGCUUGGUGCUUGCCGAGUGAGAAGAGGGUAUCCAGAGCCCCUGGCACUAGAGUUAAGAGUAGUUGUGAGCCACCAUGUGGGUGAUGGGAACUGAACCUAGGUCCUCUGCAGGACUACCUAGGACUCUUAAACUCUGAGCUGUCUCUCCAGUCCCUGACACCAUUUCUUUUUUUCUUUUAUAAAAAAUAUUUAUUUAUUUAUUUUAUGUACAUGAGUACACUGUAUGUUUCUAUACCGAUGGUUGUGAGCCAUCAUGUGGUUCCUGGGAAUUGAACUCAGAACCUCUGCUUGCUCCAGCCCCACUCGCUUUGGCCCAAACAUUUACUUAUGUGUAAGUAUUAUUAUAUGGCCUUUAGAUACACCAGAAGAGGGCAUCAGAUCUCAUUACGGAUGGUUGUGAGCCACCAUGUGGUUGCUGGGAUUUGAACUCAGGACCUUUGGAAGAGCAGUCGGUGCUCUUAACCUCUGAGCCAUCUUUCCAGCCCCUGACUCCUAUUUCUAUGAUGGGUAUAGCCAAUACCCUGCAGGCUCCUGGGAAGAAGUUCAGGAAUCAGCUACCCCCACUGCCUGUGUGGGGCAGCAGGGACUCACGUGCACCGGGCAGUGGCGCUGUCCCAGUUCCCGAGGGAGGUUGGUAAUGACCACAGUCAUUCUAGGCUGGUGGUGUGGAUGGCUGGGGAGGCCUUGUGUCCAGGUUGGCUCCUGACAGGUCAAAGGAUGUGACAGCCUUGACUUUGUGUAGGAUCAGCUUGCAGGUCUCAGCUCACAUAGACACAGCCUCGUGCACUUUCCAGAGUUGAAUCUGGGCUGUCUCACAUUUGUUUUGUCUAAAAGGUAUGCUCUGGGGCCUGGGGUGUUGCCUUGGCACUGUGGCUUACAGCCUUCUGUGUUAGCAAAAUUCGAGGAGGCGUGCUCAUUAUAUUACUUUCCCGUCACCAGAGUGUCUGGGCCCAGCCUUUUUAUCCCUCCUUAUCCUGGUGCUUGCAGGCCCCACACAGGCCCAGGUGCCUUAUAUUGAAAUCAGUAUACCCUGAACCUACCAUGUCUGCCUUCUCCCUAUCUUUUCCUAUCUCUAGACGGGCAGACAUUGUGAAGACAUGGCUCGCAGGCAGAAUCUGGCCUGCACAUAUGUUUUGUUCUCCGUGUACCACAUUUUAAAAAUUAGUUUACUUACUGUUAAAAUCUGUAUUGAAUCCUUCUUUCAAAAAGAAAAAAACAAAAACAAAAACCAAAAACAAAAACCAAAAACCAAAAACAAAACAGAAAACAAAACAAAAAAGUUGACUGGAUCAGAACAGCGAUUGCCUCUCUUGCCAGAGACACGUUUCUUGCUGUCAUUGAACCUGUCAUCCUCCUGCCUCAGUUUCCCUGAGUAUUAGGAGUACAGGUAUGUACCACUAUACCUUGCUGGCACAUUUACUUUUAAGGGUGGUUCCUUCUCUUACCCACCUGACCCCGAGACCUUUCCUAUAAAUUUCAGGAACUGCAGUGGGAUCAAAACCAGAAAUCCUGUUUAUUUUACUACUCCUUCCUCAGCACACAGCUAGUUAAGUGAGAUGCAUGGUUCUGGUGGGGUUUAAACCUUGUGAAGGAGUGGGAUCAUGAGGUUGUUUGUAUGGGUGGUGUUGAGGGAGAAUCCUUCUGGGAAGGCGGCAUUUGACAGACUGGUAGGUGGAUGGGAUGUAGGGAGAUCUAGACAGAAGAGAGACUCUUCCUGAGGCCCGAGUCAGGUCCUGCCUGGUGAGGGGUGCAGAGAGGAGUAAGGGAGAGGAGAGCGGAGUGGUCUUUGAGGACUAAAGUCUCCUUCAUCUCCACCAUCUCCUCUGGUAACUAUGCACGUGCUUUGAGCGGAGUGGGCGCUGGUGGGGAUCAGAAAUGACUGGCGUGUGUUGAAGCAGGUUCCUCUAGCAGAUGCGCUGGAUGUGGGGUGGAAUUGUGGAGACUCCGCCAGGGAACAGAUGGCUCCGCCAGGCUGGUCGUGGCACGUGGGUGAGAUGUAGUGGUGGUGUCUGGGAAGGCUCUGACAACAAAGUAUAGCUUAAAGCAACAGAAGUCUGUCCUAACGAUGAUUCUGGAAGUGAAGUGUCUGAGUUUUGCGAGGGUACCAGCAGGGCACACACUGUUUGUGCAUCUCGAAUGAGGGUCCUUCCUCAUCCCUUCCUAGCUUCCAGUGGCUCUUGGAAGUACUUAACAUUUAUUACCCUGGAGCUCCGGCCUCUCUCUCCAUCUUCUAAAAGCCUUUUUGCGUGUGUCUCUUUGCAUCCUCUUCCUCCUCCCUCUUCUUCCUUUUCUUCUGACUUUGCGUUCUCUGUCUUGACUUUCUCUUCUCUCUUCUCCUUUUUAUUCUUUGUUCUCUCGCUCCCUUCUCCUCCUCCUCCUCCUUUAAGACAGGACCUUUGUAGUACAUGAUUUUUUUUUAAUAAAGGUUUUUUAAUUUAUGUGUAUGAAUGUCUGCCUGCAUGCAUGUGUGUAUGCUCCUUGCGGACUUGGUGUCGCAGAGACUGGAAGAGGGCUUCAGUUUCUCUUGGAGUUGGCAGAUGGUUAUGAGCCUUCAUGUAGGUGCUGGGAACCAAACCUGGCUCCCCUGAAAGAGCUAUGAAUGCUUUUAAUCUCAGAGCCAUUUCUCUAGCCCCUGCAGGCUGCUGGCUUUGAACUUGAGAUUCUCCUGCCUCAGCCGCCUGGAUAGCUGGGAUUACAGGUAUGUACCCCACUCGAUUCGGGCCUCUUCCCUCAUAAGGGUGGCAGAGGUCAUUGAUUUAAGACCCACCCUAGUCAUGUAUGAACAUGCUUAGCGUAUAUGCUCAAAAACGAACUCCAAGCACAUUCCGAGACGUGGGUGAACAAAUCUGGGUGGCUUCUAUUCCACCCGCUGAAGGUUCCCAUCCUCUGGGUAUCUUUUGAAAGGGGUUUAGGAGGAGAGAAUGAAAGGUCAAGGCUGGCUUUUGCCGGUAGAAGGACUAGAUCCCUGUGACCUGGCUGAGCUGGCCUAGGUUCUUGACCCUUCUGCCCCAUACUGUUGAAUGGAACCUUUCUCACCAUACCAAGCCCCAUCUCUGUCUUUCUAUACUGAGCAACUGCCUGUUCCUCAGCACGGCUGCCUCGACCUCUGGAGUUCGCUACUUUAAAUAUUGAACUGUUAAGUUAUGAGUAGCAGGGAAGGGUGCCAAUGUGUCUGAGGAGAAAGGGGAGAGGAAUCUAAGGAGCUUCCCUUUCAAAGCUCUUGAGCCUGGUCCCUUUCUGUUAAUCCUUGCAGUUGUUCUGAGGGGUAGGCAGGGGUGGGAACCUGGCUCUACAAGAAACUCAAGGAGCCCAGUGUCUUAGGGGGAUCACCCGGCAUUCGGUUGGCCUCUGGCUUUAAAUCCAGCCGGACAGAGGUGGCAUGGAAAUAUAAAGGGAGUUAGGGAUGGGAUGGAGGCGGAUUGUAGGGAGACAGUCUGUUCUGUUACAUUCUCCUUUAGAGGUCAGUGGGUGUAGAAGGGCCAGUAGCCAUACCUGUAGCUCCCUGGCUACCCUUGAGCCAGCUGAUCCUUAAGUGAGAGUUAUGAGGAAGACAUGGAGCACUGAGGAGCUGUUAGAGAGGACUCCCCACUGGUGUCUGGCCUGAUUAGUCCUACCUGAUUGUAGUUUUGAUCAUUUAAUUGCUGAGUUAAGGUUGACAAGCACCACCAAUAUCAAUGCUGUGGGUCUGUCUGGCGGGACAGCCAGGUGACAGAGUGAUUUGCGCCCUGGGCCCUGCAUUUCCCAUUUCUGGUUUCGUUUGUUUGUUUGUUGGUAUUGUUUUCUUGGGAGUUGAGUGGAGGCCAUUCUUGACGCUUGUCUAUUAUAAUUCUCUGCUUUGUCUGGGGGAUAGCAUUCCUUCCCAAUUCAAGGUGGCGUCCUUCUGUUUUGAAGUCCCUUGUAAGUACUCAGGGUCAGCUCUCUCUUCUCGGGGAGGAGGAUGAAAGCCACAUUAACCGAUUUAUGGUGUCCUUGGGCAAUCCUGUUUGAUGUGGUUUGAAAUUUGGUUAUGAUGCCUUGGGAAGUGCUCGUUUGAGGUGGAACAUUUCUGUACGUGCCUCCUUACGAUGGAUG